rnacentral:rRNA from 1 species
AUUGAACGCUGGCGGCAGGCCUAACACAUGCAAGUCGAGCGGAUGAAGGGAGCUUGCUCCUGGAUUCAGCGGCGGACGGGUGAGUAAUGCCUAGGAAUCUGCCUUGUAGUGGGGGAUAACGUCCGUAAACGGGCGCUAAUACCGCAUCCGUCCUGAGGUAGAAAGUGGGGGAUCUUCGGACCUCACGCUAUCAGCUGAGCCUAGGUCGGAUUAGCUAGUUGGUGGGGUAAAGGCCUACCAAGGCGACGAUCCGUAACUGGUCUGAGAGGAUGAUCAGUCACACUGGAACUGAGACACGGUCCAGACUCCUACGGGAGGCAGCAGUGGGGAGUAUUGGACAAUGGGCGAAAGCCUGAUCCAGCCAUGCCGCGUGUGUGAAGAAGGUCUUCGGAUUGUAAAGCACUUUAAGUUGGGAGGAAGGGCAGUAAGUUAAUACCUUGCUGUUUUGACGUUACCAACAGAAUAAGCACCGGCUAACUUCGUG